rnacentral:rRNA from 1 species
GGCGUGAAAUCCCCGGGCUUAACCUGGGAAUUGCGCUUGUGACUGCAUAGCUAGAGUAUGGCAGAGGGGGGUAGAAUUCCACGUGUAGCAGUGAAAUGCGUAGAGAUGUGGAGGAAUACCAAUGGCGAAGGCAGCCCCCUGGGAUAAUACUGACGCUCAUGCACGAAAGCGUGGGGAGCAAACAGGAUUAGAUACCCUGGUAGUCCACGCCCUAAACGAUGCUGACUAGUUGUUCGGGAAUUUAUUCCUGAGUAACGUAGCUAACGCGUGAAGUCAGCCGCCUGGGGAGUACGGUCGCAAGAUUAAAACUCAAAGGAAUUG